rnacentral:rRNA from 1 species
GGGCCCGCACAAGCGGUGGAGCAUGUGGUUUAAUUCGACGCAACGCGCAGAACCUUACCAGGGUUUGACAUCCCGCGCUAAGCCCAGAGAUGGGUGGUCCCCGCAAGGGGCGCGGAGACAGGUGCUGCAUGGCUGUCGUCAGCUCGUGUCGUGAGAUGUUGGGUUAAGUCCCGCAACGAGCGCAACCCUCGCCUUUAGUUGCCAUCAUUCAGUUGGGCACUCUAAAGGGACCGCCGGCGACAAGCCGGAGGAAGGUGGGGAUGACGUCAAGUCCUCAUGGCCCUUACACCCUGGGCUACACACGUGCUACAAUGGCGGUGACAGUGGGCAGCGACCACGCGAGUGGAUGCGAAUCCCAAAAAACCGUCCCAGUUCAGAUUGCACUCUGCAACUCGGGUGCAUGAAGGUGGAAUCGCUAGUAAUCGCAGAACAGCAGGCUGCGGUGAAUACGUUCCCGGGCCUU